rnacentral:ncRNA from 1 species
GGUGGCUUGGUCUACGUUGCUGGUGAAUUGCACAAACAGGCACUCUCGUGCCGCGCCGUGCAUGCAAUUCUCGGUACUUGAUUGAGCUUCUGGUAUACAUGAAAACCUUCAAGUGGGCCGUUUUUGGUAAGCAGAACUGGCGAUGAGGGAUGAACCUAUCGUCGGGCUAGGGUGCUUAAUUGCGCGCUCAUCAGACACCACGAAGCGUGUUGGUUCAUUUUGACAGCAGGACGGUAGUUAUGGAAGUCGUAAUCCGCCAAGGAGCCUGUGGCAACUCAACUGCCGAAUGAUUUUCCCCGAACAUGGAUAGCACUCAAGCUUGCGACCGAUGCCCGACCAAGGGUGCAAUUCUCUCCAGUGAGUA